UCCGACCUGAACUCAGACGUGGUU
rnacentral:rRNA from 2 species